UGCCGGGUAGUUGAGAGGUACAACGCCACACUGUUAAUGUGGAUACCGCUGGUUCGAAUCCAGCCCCGGCAGCCA
rnacentral:tRNA from 1 species